rnacentral:rRNA from 1 species
CCUACGGGAGGCUGCAGUGGGGAAUAUUGGGCAAUGGGCGCAAGCCUGACCCAGCAACGCCGCGUGAAGGAAGAAGGCUUUCGGGUUGUAAACUUCUUUUCUCAGGGACGAAGAAAGUGACGGUACCGGAGGAAUAAGCCACGGCUAACGACGUGCCAGCAGCCGCGGUAAUACGUAGGUGGCAAGCGUUAUCCGGAUUUACUGGGUGUAAAGGGCGUGUCGGCGGGACUGCAAGUCAGAUGGGAAAACCACGGGCUCAACCGGGGGCCGGCAUUUGAAACGGUAGUUCUUGAGUACUGGAGAGUCAGCCGGCAUUCCUCGUGUAGCGGUGACAUGCGUAGUUCUUAGGUGGCACCCCAGUGGC